AAACUUAGGUUAAUCUUUAAACCAGGGACCUUCAAAGCCCCAAACAAGAGCUGAAACCUCUUAGCUUCUG
rnacentral:tRNA from 1 species